AACGAACGCUGGCGGCAUGCCUAACACAUGCAAGUCGAACGAUCCCUUCGGGGAUAGUGGCGCACGGGUGCGUAACGCGUGGGAACCUGCCCUUAGGUUCGGAAUAACUCAGAGAAAUUUGAGCUAAUACCGGAUAAUGUCUUCGGACCAAAGAUUUAUCGCCUUUGGAUGGGCCCGCGUUGGAUUAGCUAGUUGGUGGGGUAAAAGCCUACCAAGGCGACGAUCCAUAGCUGGUCUGAGAGGAUGAUCAGCCACACUGGGACUGAGACACGGCCCAGACUCCUACGGGAGGCAGCAGUGGGGAAUAUUGGACAAUGGGCGAAAGCCUGAUCCAGCAAUGCCGCGUGAGUGAUGAAGGCCUUAGGGUUGUAAAGCUCUUUUACCCGGGAUGAUAAUGACAGUACCGGGAGAAUAAGCCCCGGCUAACUCCGUG
rnacentral:rRNA from 1 species